rnacentral:pre_miRNA from 1 species
UGCAGCCCCGCCUGACACUCGGUCUCAACCUCGGCUAAUUUAUGCAGGUGAGCAAAGUCUCAGGUGUCGUUGCGC